GCGGAGUAGAGCAGUUGGUAGCUCGUCGGGCUCAUAACCCGGAGGUCGCAGGUUCGAGUCCUGUCUCCGCAA
rnacentral:tRNA from 1 species